CCUACGGGGGGCUGCAGUGGGGAAUAUUGGACAAUGGGGGGAACCCUGAUCCAGCCAUGCCGCGUGUGUGAAGAAGGCCCUCGGGUUGUAAAGCACUUUCAGUGAGGAAGAACGCCUGGUGGUUAAUACCCAUCAGGAAAGACAUCACUCACAGAAGAAGCACCGGCUAACUCCGUGCCAGCAGCCGCGGUAAUACGGAGGGUGCGAGCGUUAAUCGGAAUUACUGGGCGUAAAGCGCGCGUAGUUGGCUUGAUAAGCCGGUUGGGAAAGCCCCGGGCUCAACCUGGGAACGGCAUCCGGAACUGUCAAGCUAGAGUGCAGGAGAGGAAGGUAGAAUUCCCGGUGUAGCGGUGAAAUGCGUAGAGAUCGGGAGGAAUACCAGUGGCGAAGGCGGCCUUCUGGACUGACACUGACACUGAGGUGCGAAAGCGUGGGUAGCAAACAGGAUUAGAUACCCUGGUAGUC
rnacentral:rRNA from 1 species